UUUUCUAUGCAUAUUUCAUAACUGUCUUACAAAUGCCUAAGUGUAUCUUAAUAAUUUUUGCUGCUAAAGUAUUUUACUCAAAAUAGCCUUUUGAUAAGCAUUUAUUCAAUAAGUAUUUAUUGGACCCACAGGGGACUCAGGAAAAAACGAACAUAUAGCUGACUUAGCAUCAUAUUCCAUUUCUAUGAGUAAGGUGAAUCGUCUAACAUUGGGCCAUAAAUAUCAUUUUUUAU
rnacentral:lncRNA from 1 species